UAGGAUUCGGCGCUCUCACCGCCGCGG
rnacentral:piRNA from 3 species